UCCUCGGGCUGGCACUGGGGCAGAGCGGGGAGGUGGGGUCUGGCGUGGGAGGGGCUGCCCCGGGGGACGAGGCGGCCUGGGGGGCCGUCCAGGUGACCUCAGUGCCCGCGGAAGGGCCGGAAGCUGUGCCUGUCAUCUGCCCGCUGCACUGAUUACAGGACCAGGCUUCGGGCCACCCCACCCUCGGAUGGCCUCGCCGUGUCGCCAGCAUAAUAAGCCCCCUGGUCCCCAAACCCAAACAGUUGUCUGGCUUGUGCCCACUGGCUGAGGCCAUGGGGGUCCAGGUCAGAGAGGGGUCCGGCUGCGUGGCCUCAGAGCACCAGUGGGACCCAGGGAGCACCCCAGAACUUUGACACCCCUUCCUCAAAUGUUGACCGAAGAAGGCCUAUUAUUGUCCUGCCAACCAUUCUCUUGGGCACUGAGGAUGCAGUGCAGAAUAAAAUAGCAAACUUCCUGUC